UACACAUUUCAUCUUCAUCCUCACACGCUGCUGCUGCCUCUUCGCUCCCAUCCUCACACGCCGCCGCUGCCGCCUCUUCUCUCUCCACCACCACUGUGAAGGAAGAAACGUACUUACAAGUAUUGCCUCCUUGAAGUGCAUUCAAAAUCUACGACAACAGUAAGGAAAUACAAAGUAGUUGAAUUAUUAAUUGGAAAACAAUCGAGUGCCCGAAACAACCUACAAACAUAGAAUAUGGUUUCUAUGUAAUGAAAUACAUGAAAGAUUUGAUUAGAGAUGAGAGGAUCUUAAGCAGAGGAAAUUUCAAUGGAAAAAAAACUUACACGAAAGUCGAAAUUGAUGAAGUGCAAGCCGAGUGGAUAAAGUCCAUGAACGAAGUAUAAUCAGCUUAUACAUGUAAGUUAGCUCUUCGUUUGUUUAGCUGGCUUUGAUCAAGAAUGUAGGUUCAAGCUUGUUAAUUGUGUUGCAUUGGGAGUGUUGAGAUUAGUUUCAAGCUUUGGAGAGUCUUAGAUGAUCAGUUUUGGGGGGGCUGCUACUAGAUGGUGGUGUGGCUAUUAACUUAUUCAUUGGAGUUUCACGUA